rnacentral:rRNA from 1 species
AUGACAGGGUUUCUUGGCACGGUAGUUGAUGCAGCAACAGGAUGGCUGGUGCAAAGCAUCAUUGGGAGCUUCUUCACUAGGCAGAUGGAAGCCUGGACUCAUGAAAUCGGGCUCACUGAAGAUUUUGAGAAGCUCAAAUUUGAGAUGAGGAACGUGGAGAUGGUGCUUGCUGCUGCUGAGGGAAGGAUUAUUGGCAACAAUAAGCCUCUGUCCCAGUCACUGGAUGAUCUCAAAGGGCUGCUUUAUGACUCAGAGGACGUGAUGGACGAGCUCGAUUACUACCGACUACAACAACAGAUCGAAGGGAGAGGUUGUACCGCUGCCAGUGAUGAUAAUUCUGAUGGGAGCUAUGUGUCCUCAUCUGCCCCAUCUUCUGCUUCUGAAUUAGUAUACAGUGCCACAAGCCAAAUAACUAGAUGGGCCUCGUGCGGCAGAAAAAGGAGACGUGAAGAGGAGGGGCCAGCUCAUAGUAUCAUGCUGACUUAUGAGAUUAAACAUGACAUUUCUCAGAGAAUCAACGGUAUAGUGAAACAUUUAUGCACUAUUGGCAAUUCUGUGCAGAGAGUUCUUCAGCUUGAGAUCUCACGCCCCACUGCAACAUCAAAUGAGAGUCAGAAUAUUUGCAGGAAUGCUCGAUUAACAACUUCUGUUCCAAUUGAAUGUAAGGUGUAUGGGAGGGAUGCAGAGAGAGACAAGAUAAUAGAGCUGUUGAUAAAUGGGGGAUCUAGUGAACUGAAUGUUUUGCCAGUGGUUGGCAUUGGUGGUGUUGGGAAGACGACUCUUGCUAGAUAUGUAUACCGUGAUGAAAGAAUUACAAAUCAUUUUGAUUUGCAAAUGUGGGUUUGUGUAUCCACAAACUUCAAUGAAGUGAGGCUAACACUUGAGAUCCUAGAGCAUGUAUGUAAAGAUAGACAAGAGUAUGAAAAAAUAAGCAAUUUCAAUGUACUGCAGGAGAUCCUUUUGAAGAAUAUUAGAAACAAGAGAUUUCUGCUUGUAUUGGACGAUGUGUGGGAAGACAAGAACAUAAGUGGAUGGAUUAAACUCUUGGCUCCAUUGAAAAAUAAUCAAGUAAAUGGUUGCAUGGUACUAGCAACAACUAGAACAAAAUCAGUUGCAAAAAUGAUUGGAACAGUGGAUGAAGUUAGAUUGAGUGGUCUGGAUGAAAAGGAGUUUUGGCUGUUCUUCAAGGCAUGUGCAUUUGGUAAUGAGAACUACGAGGGUCAUCCUAGUUUGCAAUCUAUUGGGAAACAGAUUGCUAAAGCACUAAAGGGCUGCCCACUAGCUGCACGAAGCGUUGGUGCACUUCUGAAUACAAAUGUUAGCGAUAAGCAUUGGAGGAUAGUUCGGGACAAAUGGAAAUCCUUUCAAGAAGAUUCUGAUGAUAUUUUACCCAUCUUGAAGCUCAGUUAUGAUUAUCUGCCAGUCCACCUUCAACGUUGUUUCUCGUACUGCUCUUUGUUUCCAGAGGACUACCCAUUUGAUGGGGAGCAAUUGGUCCAUGCUUGGAUAUCACAGGAUUUUGUGCAGUGCGAAGAUCGUACCGUAAGACUAGAGGAAACAGGGCAGGAAUAUUUGGAUAGAUUAGUGGAUUUGGGCUUCUUCCAAAUGGUUAACUCACACUAUGUUAUGCAUGAUUUAAUGCAUGAAUUGGCAGGGAAAGUUUCAUUAAAUGAGUGUGCUACUAUACAUGGAUUGAAACCUGAGGCAAUUCGACCAAGUGUUCGCCAUUUGUCAAUCAUAACUACUGCUUUUGAUAAAGAUAACGGUGGCAGUUUUCCUAACGAGAGGUUUGAAAAAAUACUUCAGAAGGUUCGGCCUUUGCAAAAAUUGAGGACCUUGAUGUUGUUUGGGCGAAGCAGCAUAAAUUUAUUAGGGUCCUUACGUGAUUUAUGCAAGGAAGCAAAAUGUUUACGGUUUCUAAGAAUUUUUGUGACAGGUGCUGACAUCAGCUCUAUAAACAGGCUGUUAAAUCCAUGCCAUCUUCGCUAUCUUGAAUAUGUUUGUGUUGUCACCACAACCAUGUCGCUGUUUCCUCAAGCAUUGACAAGAUUUUAUCACCUUCAAGUAUUGAAUGUGGGUAUUUCAGGCAAUCUUGCUGUGCCUACUGACAUGCAUAAGCUUGUUAAUUUGCGCCAUCUUAUUUCUCAUGAGAAAGUGCAUCAUGCAAUAGCUUGUGUUGGCAACAUGACCUCUCUUCAGAAACUAAGAUUCAAGGUUCAAAAUGUUGGCAGUUUUGAGAUAAGGCAGCUUCAGUCGAUGAAUGAGCUUGUACUGCUUGAAAUUUCUCAACUUCAAAUUGUGAAGACUAAAGAAGAGGCUUGUGGGGCCAGGCUGUUAGACAAAGAGUAUCUAGAAAAGUUGUCCUUGUCAUGGGAGGAUAGCAGCAUGAGCCUUGAACCUGUAAUGGCAGAAGAUGUGCUUGAAGGUCUUCAACCACAUUCGAACCUCAAAACUCUAGAAAUAACUGGAUACAGUGGUGCUAUCCCUCCAACCUGGCUUUCCAGUACUUUCUCAGUUACCUCAUUGCAGAUACUUCAUCUAAGGAAUUGCAAGGAAUGGCGAAUUCUUCCAACUCUUGAAAUGCUUCCUUUCCUUAGGAAGCUGACAUUGAUCAGGAUGUUGAAUUUAAUGGAAAUCUCAGUUCCUUCCUUGGAAGAGUUGAUCUUGAUCAAUAUGCCAAAAUUGGAAAAAUGUAUUGGUUCCUACGGAAUGGAGUUGACUUCCCAUCUAAGGGUUUUGAUGAUCAUGAAAUGCCCUCAACUGAAUGAUAUCACUCUUUUCCAGAGUUACCCUUCUUUCGAUGCUGAGCAGAAGUCAUGGUUCCCAUCUCUCAGCAAACUCUACAUCAAGAAAUGCCCUCAUAUAAUCAAGUGGGCAAACCUUCCCCUAAGAGAAAUGGGGGCGCUCAAGGAGUUGGAGUUGGUGGACCUACAUGUUGUCAAAGAAUUGUCAGUUCCUUCCCUGGAGAAGUUGGUGUUGACUAAAAUGCCAAGCCUAGAAUUCUGCAGCAGUCUAACAACUUCUCCACCUCUGCAAUUUUUACCUUCCCAGGGAGAUAAAGAAAAUUGGACAUCUAAUCUCCAUAGACUCACCAUCCAUGAUUGCCCUUGUUUGAUAGUGUCACAUCCUCUUCCGCCUUCUGCUCUGAUUUCUGAGUUGUCCGUCAGGGGAGUUCCUACACUUCCAACAAUGAGUAUAAGCCAAAGACAGUUGAUUAUGGAAUCUAAUGAGUUGAGUGUGCUGGAUGACAGUAUCUUGGCAUUCGAUAACCUUAGGGGCAUAACAUUGUUUGAAAUAAGAAACUGUCCAAAUCUGGUCUCCAUUUCAAGUGAAGCUUUCAGCCAGCUCAUCGCUUUAGAGGAUUUAUGUAUAUACGACUGCCCUAAUCUGAGCAUGUCAAACAUUAUGUAA